ACUCCUACGGGAGGCAGCAGUGAGGAAUAUUGGUCAAUGGGCGCAAGCCUGAACCAGCCAUGCCGCGUGCAGGAUGACGGUCCUAUGGAUUGUAAACUGCUUUGUACGGGAAGAAACACUCCUUCAGUGAAGGAGCUUGUACGGGUACCGUAAGAAUAAAGGAUCGGCUAACUCCGUGCCAGCAGCCGCGGUAAUACGGAGGAUCCAAGCGUUAUCCGGAAUCAUUGGGUUUAAAGGGUCCGUAGGCGGUUUUAUAAGUCAGUGGUGAAAUCCGGCAGCUCAACUGUCGAACUGCCAUUGAUACUGUAGAACUUGAAAUUAUUGUGAAGUAACUAGAAUAUGUAGUGUAGCGGUGAAAUGCUUAGAGAUUACAUGGAAUACCAAUUGCGAAGGCAGGUUACUAACAAUAUAUUGACGCUGAUGGACGAAAGCGUGGGUAGCGAACAGGAUUAGAUACCC
rnacentral:rRNA from 1 species